GGGCGCAUGGUCUAGUUGGUUAUGAUGCCGCCUUGACGUGGCGGAGGUCUCCGGUUCAAAUCCGGAUGCGCCCA
rnacentral:tRNA from 1 species